AGGUAGCUCACAUUCAUGAUCACAGGACUUCACUCUACUUAUACGAGCAUCGAUAUCUUUCCUUUAGGUGUUUAAUUACAAAGCCCAAUCGACAUUCUCCGAAGAUAUCCCGAAGUGUGCCGACACUGGUAAGAAAAUAGUGUGGAGAUCACAUCUCACUAGAAAAGGUAACUUUAGCGUAUCGGGUCACAGCAUCCAACUAGGAAUUUUAUCACCGGAACUAUUGAUCCUCUACUCAAUUUGUUACCGGGGGAAAAUACCGCUACCGGAGUUUUGCACCCUGCAGGAUAAAUUUUAGUACCGGGUAAUGUAUGAUCGGAAUUUACUACGAGAGUUACCACCGGAUAAUUUUACCAUCGGAG